rnacentral:tRNA from 1 species
AAGUCCAGGGUUUAUUAUAACCAAAUGGGGGAUUUGCACUCCGAGGGCUGGACU